GUCCAGACUCCUACGGGAGGCAGCAGUGGGGGAUAUUGCACAAUGGGGGGAACCCUGAUGCAGCGACGCCGCGUGGGUGAAGGAGUGCUUCGGCAUGUAAAGCCCUAUCGGCAGGGAAGAAGGAGGACGGUACCUGACUAAGAAGCCCCGGCUAACUACGUGCCAGCAGCCGCGGUAAUACGUAGGGGGCAAGCGUUAUCCGGAUUUACUGGGUGUAAAGGGAGCGUAGACGGAUGGAUAAGUCUGAAGUGAAAGCCCGCGGCUCAACUGCGGGACUGCUUUGGAAACUGUGCAUCUUGAGUACGGGAGGGGCAGGCGGAAUUCCUGGUGUAGCGGUGAAAUGCGUAGAUAUCAGGAGGAACACCGGCGGCGAAGGCGGCCUGCUGGACCGAAACUGACGUUGAGGCUCGAAAGCGUGGGGAGCAAACAGGAUUAGAUACCCCAGUAU
rnacentral:rRNA from 1 species